AGCGAACGCUGGCGGCAGGCCUAACACAUGCAAGUCGAACGGAUCCUUCGGGAUUAGUGUCGGACGGGUGAGUAACACGUGGGAACGUGCCCUUUGGUUCGGAACAACUCAGGGAAACUUGAGCUAAUACCGGAUGUGCCCUUCGGGGGAAAGAUUUAUCGCCAUUGGAGCGGCCCGCGUCUGAUUAGCUAGUUGGUGAGGUAACGGCCCACCAAGGCGACGAUCAGUAGCUGGUCUGAGAGGAUGAUCAGCCACACUGGGACUGAGACACGGCCCAGACUCCUACGGGAGGCAGCAGUGGGGAAUCUUGCGCAAUGGGCGAAAGCCUGACGCAGCCAUGCCGCGUGAAUGAUGAAGGUCUUAGGAUUGUAAAAUUCUUUCAGCGGGGACGAUAAUGACGGUACCCGCAGAAGAAGCUCCGGCUAACUUCGUG
rnacentral:rRNA from 1 species